rnacentral:sRNA from 1 species
GUCCUCCGUCAAGGGUAUACAAGUAGCUGUGCUCCUCUACUAGAACCUCCAAACAAGCUCUCAAGGCCCAUUUUGUUUUAAAAAGUAGAGAAGUUUUGU